UUCUGGUUGAUCCUGCCGGUAAUCAUAUGCUUGUCUCAAAGACUAAGCCAUGCAUGUCUAAGUAUAAAUAACUACAUAGUAAAACUGCGAAUGGCUCAUUACAACAGUUAUUGUUUAUUUGAUACAUUAAAUGGAUAACUGUAGAAAAACUAGAGCUAAUACAUGCUAAGGCCGCAAGGUUGUAUUUAUUAGAUAUUCCGAUAAGGUGAAUCAUAAUAACUUCGCGAAUCUCAUCUAUGAUGAGAUAAAUCAUCCAAGUUUCUGCCCUAUCAUGCUUUCGUUGGUAGUGUAUUGGACUACCAUGGCUCCCACGGGUAACAGGGAAUUAGGGUUCGAUUCUGGAGAAGGAGCCUGAGAAACGGCUACUACAUCUACGGAAGGCAGCAGGCGCGUAAAUUACCCAAUCCUGACUCAGGGAGGUGGUGACAAGAUAUAACAACGUGACCUUAAAUCUCGAUUGUAGUGAGGGUUUUCUAA
rnacentral:rRNA from 1 species